GUUCAGCAUCACGUUCGACAUGUCGGGCACUCGCAUGAUUACGACGGAAGCCGAUAAGACUAUUAAAGUGUACAAGGAAGACGACACCGCCAGCGAAGAAACGCAUCCCGUCGACUGGCGACCCGAUAUAAUAAAACGACGAAAGUACUAACUCAAAUGUAUAUACACUGAUUCAAUUAAUUUAACGUGUGACGCAUUCAAAAAUAAGAAAAAAAUAUUUUGUAUAUUAUUUAUAUAGGAUUACUUUUAUUGCCAGACUGUAAUGGAUAAAUCUGUCCAAGCUGCAAUAAAGAAAAAAA